UACGUAGGGGGCAAGCGUUGUCCGGAUUCAUUGGGCGUAAAGAGCUCGUAGGCGGCUUGGCAAGUCGGGUGUGAAAACUCCAGGCUCAACCUGGAGACGCCACCCGAUACUGCCAUGGCUAGAGUCCGGUAGGGGACCACGGAAUUCCCGGUGUAGCGGUGAAAUGUGUAGAGAUCGGGAGGAACACCGGUGGCGAAGGCGGUCUUCUGGACGGUGACUGACGCUGAGGCGCGAAAGCCAGGGGAGCAAACGGG
rnacentral:rRNA from 1 species